rnacentral:lncRNA from 1 species
CCUAGCUCGUAACUGCGCACGCGCAUCUCUGUCAAAUCUAUCGGUUGCUUUGCUUUACCCUCCUCCUCUCCUCCACCACUCAGCAACCACCCUUAGUCGCCUUUAAUUGAAGUCAGUGCUCGCUUGAUGCUUGUGUUUUGUUAUGAACUGACCAUCUUUUGUUUUAAAACAAAUUAUACGGUAGGUAUAUAUAACAUAUAUAUAUAUAUAUAUACACUCACACAUAUGCAUAUAUUUAUAACAGUAAUCUUUUUUAUCUAUCUAUUAUUGCAGUUAAUUUUUAUUAUCUAUUUCUUGUGUCCUUUCUUUCACAUUUUCUUUAAUUUAAAUAUAUAGUUGAUGUUAUUGUUGAUGUUUGAUUCAAUUAACCCUUAGCAUACACAUUUCUCUGUUCCCCAUGAGUACCCUAAAUUUAAAAAGAGUAAAUACUAAGAUUGAUAUAUAUAUAUAUGCACAUACUGAUUCGUUUGCCACAUAACACCCAUCACACACACUAUCUAUAGGUAUAUAUAUAUAUAUAUAUAUAUAUAUAUAUAUACAUACACAUAUACACUUUCAUCAUAUAUGUCUCUCCACCCGAUUUCGCCUGUGGUCAUCAUUUGUCUAUUGUAAUGUUAGGGUUUUUCAUCGUUAUGUCGGGUAUAGAGAGUAGCUUGUAUUAUUUGUAUGUGGCGUGUGUGUGUGAUGGAGUAGCAGGGAAUUAACGGGAAUCCUUAGUAAAGUUGAUCCCUAUAUUCUUUGAUGACCACUCCACUGUAUUUUUUAAAAAUGGUUUUUAUUAUUUUGUUUCCAUCUUUUUAGAGAAUGUGUAUAGCCACAGUCAGUAUUCAACUGGGAGUUUAAAUGAUUUUUAUACGGUCCCUUAUUUUAUAGUCAGCUUGUUUAAAGAAGAAAGAAGGGUACUGUGGGGGUGGGUGGUUGAUGGUUUGAAGGAGAGAAAGAAAAGUAGCAUUAUUCUUUCGAACGCUAAUAUUACUGUUGUUGGCCUUGUGCAUAUAGUAGAAAGAUUAUUAUUAUUAUUAUUAUUAUUGUUGUUGUUCUGUCUAUCACGUUCGGCAGUUCUGUGUUAAUGAUGAAAUUUUGUUAUCAAUAUAUUUUAUCAAUCAUUAGUUCUAUUUUAAUCUUUGUUUAACUAUUUGACCAAAAUCCACAUACAAACAAUAAAUUUUGAUAAGUAUAACUAUCAUUCGCCACAAGAGAUACGAAGAGACUACCCAUGAUAUAAUAUUCCAGAUAAAUUACAAUACGAUGCAAAUAAACGAAGAUAUAUUGGUUUUAUGACAAUAUAUAUAUAUAUAUAUAUAUAUAUAUAUAUAGGACUAGAAAUAUAUAUAUAUAAUGUGUGUGUGUUUGCACGCUGAAUAAUAUUAAUAAUCUCUCCCACUUGUUUCUUAAACUGGUGGGUGGAGAAACAGUUCAGUUUUUGUUUAUCAAUUUGAUCUGAAGUCUCCGUUCACAUUUUUUAUUGGAUGGGGGUGGUGGUGUGAAUAUCAUCUUUCUUCCGUCAACUCUUCCUCUGCUCGGUUUUAUUUUCUUCUUUCCCUUGAGCUUAAUAUACAUAGUAUUAAUUUCACCCACUAUGUAAAUACCUGUAUGAAAUUCAUUUAACGUAUUUUACCAUUUUUUUAAUCUAUAAAUGAAGAUUUGUGGCCUUGCAAACUGAGACUGUUACUGCUUCAGUUUCUAUUUGGAGCCAUUUCACCCCGCUACUUAUUAUGCCUUUUGAGAAAUGCAUGAACAUCACCACAUCCUAAUUACCUUUGCCUAUCUAUCUAUCCUGAAUGUUAAUAUUAUUGUUUGUGUGGCAAAUAUUAGAAGGCUUGACUAAAUUUCAAUUUUAUGUUCCGUGUUCAAAUCCCUAAGAGUUGUCUUUUUCGUCGCUAUGGUGGUAGGUGAUAAUAAGUACUUAUGUACUAGUUCGAUUCAAUCGUCUAUACAUACUCAACUUCUGUGAGUACAGUGAGGCCGCUCGACUAGCUAGAAAUAGCAGCCCAGUUCUUACAAAUCACACCAUACUUUCUUUAAAAGAAAGAAAAAAAAGGGAAGCACACACUGACUGAUACAGAAAAUGAGGGAUGAUCAUGGAAUGCUUUUGGUGAAAGGUUUGUUCACCCAAAGCUAACCUGGGACUAG